CCAUGCGAGUAUGGCUGGUUUUCUGCCUUCUCGCCAUUGGCAUUCAGGCUUAUCACGUUGGUUCUUCUAGCUCUUCGGAUGACGUAAACUCACCAACAAAGCACGGUGUAAAGAAGUUAUCCAUGGCCAGCGCUUUUUUUAGCUUAGCCUCGAUCAUAAAAAAUGCUCUACUCGUCAUAAUGAGCGGAAAGAAAAUACACGAAGAAGGGGUGGGGGU